AUGCGACAAGAUGUCAUUCAGGAAUUUGUGGCGCUUUAUCAAAGAGUAGCGCCUUAUCUACUGAUCGAGCCCUACUUGGUCGAUGAAGUGCUUCGUUCCUAUCUGGACCAUAUUCACGCAACUUAUUCUUUCACUGUUCUCUAAGCGUCUUAUCAAGAUCUGCGGGAGAAUGAGGGAGGAUCCGUUUUCUUUUGAAAUGUUGUUUCCCACAACCGGGAUCUCCUUGAGGCGGAAAGCUCCGCAAGGAGGUGCCUGGAAGUGGAACAGAGGAUCCGGUGGGAAGAAAUCCCCAAGAGCAAGGCAAGUCUUGAAAGAGCUAAGCACGAGCAUGCUCUCGACUUGUUUAAGUCGGAGAAUCUUAGAAGGGAAUUAGAAAAAAAAGCAGGGUAG
rnacentral:rRNA from 1 species